rnacentral:rRNA from 1 species
GACGAACGCUGGCGGCGUGCUUAACACAUGCAAGUCGAACGGAAAGGCCCUGCUUUUGUGGGGUGCUCGAGUGGCGAACGGGUGAGUAACACGUGAGUAACCUGCCCUUGACUUUGGGAUAACUUCAGGAAACUGGGGCUAAUACCGGAUAGGAGCUCCUGCUGCAUGGUGGGGGUUGGAAAGUUUCGGCGGUUGGGGAUGGACUCGCGGCUUAUCAGCUUGUUGGUGGGGUAGUGGCUUACCAAGGCUUUGACGGGUAGCCGGCCUGAGAGGGUGACCGGCCACAUAGGGAGUGAGAUACGGCCCAGACUCCUACGGGAGGCAGCAGUGGGGAAUAUUGCACAAUGGGCGGAAGCCUGAUGCAGCAACGCCGCGUGCGGGAUGACGGCCUUCGGGGUGUAAACCGCGUUCGCCUGUGACGAAGCGUGAGUGACGGUAAUGGGUAAAGAAGCACCGGCUAACUACGUG